rnacentral:rRNA from 1 species
UACGUAGGGGGCAAGCGUUGUCCGGAUUUAUUGGGCGUAAAGCGCACGCAGGCGGUCUUGUAAGUUUCGAGUGACAGGUGGUGGCUUAACUGCCACAGGCCUUGGAAAACUGCAAGACUUGAGGGCGAGAGAGGGAUGCGGAAUUCCAGGUGGAGCGGUGAAAUGCGUAGAUAUCAGGAGGAACACCGAUGGCGAAGGCAGGUCUCUGGGCAUUAACUGACGCUGAGGAGCGAAAGCAUGGGGAGCGAACAGG